rnacentral:lncRNA from 1 species
CACAAAGUGAUGAAGGGAGUGCAGGAUGAACCUGGCAAAGGAACAAGGAGAUGGAAGCCCAGUGCUGGGAGAAGCCAGCCACGCCUCAGAGAUACAGAAUGUCAAUGUACUUCGUGCUGUGACCCAGUGGCCAGGAGGAUGUUUUGGCUGGAAAAGGAAACUGCAAUGGAUAACUUCAGAAAGUUCAGUCUCCUCUCUUGAGAGCUCCAGGAGGCUCAGGGCUUCAGGCACAAGGGCUGUGCCAACAGGACUUGGGCACCAAACUGCCUCUGCAGGAAAGGAACACUCAUCUCCUCCUCAUCUAUGCACUGUGGUGCCAUGAGAAAUAGUAUCUGUGCCUGAGUGGCCCACAAAUGAGUUCCUUCAAUGAAAACAAUAAUCUGAUUUUUUUUAUCUAAUAACAUUUUGGAGGAUACGCCUGUCUUCUCUCAGAAUCUGAUUUUCUUGAUAUCUACAAAAAUGUCCUGAGCAAAAAUUGUCAAAU